UUGUUUAGUGAUUGUGCCUAUUAUGAAAAAUUGUAAAAAGAUUGUAUUAGUUUGGACUUUCCAUAACGAACAGUCAAUUUUUAUUUUCAUCAGCCAACACAAAUUACAUGUUGCUGAACCACAGAAGUGAUGCCUUGCUAACUAGUAGCUACUUACAAUAGCACAAGCAUUGCUGUUCUUUUCGACUAACUUACACAGUUAUGUAGCUAAUGUGAAAUUUUGUGAUGUUCCGAUAGUUUUGCAGCUCAUCUCUUUGGAAGAUUUGUGUGCAAGCAGAUAUAUAAGUUGGAAAAACGCUGUCCUGUGUUCCUGCUUGCUGCUUCUCAAUGACUUGGUUGUAUCAUUGGCAGUCAUGCCCUACUCGUCCUAUGAUCUACCUACUGAGGAGAAGAUGUUGUCCAUUUGCCCAAGUCGCCAUCCUAAGCAACUUUGAACUGAAUGCUCCUUCAGAAUGCCCUCUUCUAGUUCAUCGGAGUGGGGAUACACACAUCUGCUGAUCCUCACGGUUUUAGACAGUCAUGACAUGGAUAUGAGGAAUUUAUGCCGAUGCUUCUCGCGAAGAUCACGAUCAUCAUCACAAGAAAUGACUUGUGCUCAUCUGACUAGAGGCUGAACAAGAUUUUCUUGCAUCUCUCUGGUUGUUCAAGGAUGCAUGGAACAAAUCAGGUUCAAGCAUAGAAAUUUCCCGAGAAAUCUUGCUCCUAUUAAGAUACUGACAGUUAAAUAGGCCAGUGCUUGGUUUAAUAUAUAAUUCUGAUGACUAAUCAAGCACGAGAAGUACGACAAAUUUUGGGGGUGAUGACGUGAUGUUACUGAUGUGUAGAAUAGCAACACCCCAUUUGAAUGUUGAAGAGAGUGACCUUCUUUAAGUCAUCGGUGCCAUCCAUCUUUCAAUCAUCAAUCAGCCAUUUCAACGGCUCCUGGAGUUGAGCAGUUAAAGCGCAUGUAAAGACUUAAGGAGAGAUAAGAAUUCCUUUCACGCUGGCUCAUCGGUCAAGGAUUCUGAAAAACUAACCAAGAUUGUGCGCGCAUGUAGGAGAGAUCAAAUAAGAGCUCGGCAAGUCGACAAUACGCUUCUGAUGUGCAAGCAAGAAGCAAAGAAACCGAUUGGGAGAGAGCGUGCCAUAGCAAACGCGAGAAGCCGGAGGCGAUGGACGUUGUUGUGUUGCACUGUGAAAUGAAAUAGACAGAGUAAUCUAUGUUUGGUGAAAUUCAUAAGCAGUAGUAGCCUCAGCUCUGUAAUUUCUGUUAAAUGAGUUGUGAACGGCACUUUAUGCUUUGUUGCAAUUGAGUAGUAAUCUGAACUCUGUGCUCCAAUUA